rnacentral:rRNA from 1 species
GUGGGGAAUCUUCCGCAAUGGACGAAAGUCUGACGGAGCAACGCCGCGUGAGUGAAGAAGGUCUUCGGAUCGUAAAGCUCUGUUGUACGGGACGAAUGUUGAAGGCGUGAAUAAUGCCAUCAAAUGACGGUACUGUACGAGGAAGCCACGGCUAACUACGUGCCAGCAGCCGCGGUAAUACGUAGGUGGCGAGCGUUGUCCGGAAUUAUUGGGCGUAAAGGGAGCGCAGGUGGGAAGGUAAGUCUGUUUUAAAAGCGUCGGGCGCAACCCGAUGAGGGAACAGAAACUAUUUUUCUUGAGUGCAGGAGAGGAAAGCGGAAUUCCUAGUGUAGCGGUGAAAUGCGUAGAUAUUAGGAGGAACACCAGUGGCGAAGGCGGCUUUCUGGACUGUAACUGACACUGAGGCUCGAAAGCCAGGGGAGCGAACGGGAUUAGAUACCCUAGUAGUCC